AAUUUACUUCUCCCGUUUCAAAAUUCUUAUCUUAGAUUUGUCUACAUAUGAAUGCAUCUAGUCACAUUUUAGUAUUUAGAUACAUUCAAUUUUUAAACAAAUCUAAGAUAAGAACUUUGAGACGGAGGAAGUACAAC
rfam:Hordeum vulgare subsp. vulgare, WGS project CAJW01000000 data, contig: morex_contig_274169